rnacentral:rRNA from 1 species
AGCAGCCGCGGUAAUUCCAGCUCCAAUAGCGUAUAUUAAAGUUGUUGCAGUUAAAAAGCUCGUAGUUGAAUUUCGGGAUCAGUUCGCUGGUCGUGCCUCUGGUAUGUACUGGUGUUACUGGUUCCUCCCUUCUGACGAACUGUCAUGUCAUUUAUUUGGUGUGGCAGGGAAUCAGGACUGUUACUUUAGAAAAAAUUAGAGUGUUUAAAGCAGGCUCGCGCUUGAAUACAUUAGCAUGGAACAAUGAAAUAGGACGUUCGAUCCUAUUUUGUUGGUUUCUAGGAUUGACGUAAUGAUUAAUAGGGAUAGUUGGGGGCAUUAGUAUUCAAUUGUCAGAGGUGAAAUUCUUGGAUUUAUUGAAGACUAACUACUGCGAAAGCAUUUGCCAAGGAUGUUUUCAUUAAUCAAGAACGAAAGUUAGGGGAUCGAAGACGAUCAGAUACCGCCGUAGUCUUAACCAUAAACUAUGCCGACUAGGGAUCGGAUGAUGUUAUUUUUAAUGACCAUUCGGCCG